rnacentral:rRNA from 1 species
AUUGAACGCUGGCGGCAUGCUUUACACAUGCAAGUCGAACGGCAGCACGGGUGCUUGCACCUGGUGGCGAGUGGCGGACGGGUGAGUAAUACAUCGGAACGUGUCCUGAAGUGGGGGAUAACGCAUCGAAAGAUGUGCUAAUACCGCAUAUUCUCUGAGGAGGAAAGUAGGAGAUCGAAAGACCUUAUGCUUUUGGAGCGGCCGAUGUCUGAUUAGCUAGUUGGUAAGGUAAUGGCUUACCAAGGCGACGAUCAGUAGUUGGUCUGAGAGGACGACCAGCCACACUGGGACUGAGACACGGCCCAGACUCCUACGGGAGGCAGCAGUGGGGAAUUUUGGGACAAUGGGCGCAAGCCUGAUCCAGCAAUGCCGCGUGAGUGAAGAAGGCCUUCGGGUU